rnacentral:lncRNA from 1 species
GGUGGCGGUUUUUGCUCUCUUGCGUUCUCUUUUCAGUCUCCUUCAUCAGAACUACUCCUUUCUGGAUCUAAUCUAGUGGAAAGCUAGCUCCUUUGAGCUGGGGGAUUGGUGAAAUCUACUGGGUGUCACUCGUUUCCUCUCUUUGUAGACGACGUUUCUGAGCUCAUCUGGUAACCUCCGCCAUCGUUCUUUUCUUCAGAUUAGUUGAUGGGUUUCUUUUUAUGUCGAUUUUGAUCGAUAGGUUAUGCUAAAAGA